rnacentral:rRNA from 1 species
UUUAUCAAAAACAUGUCUUAUUGAAAAUAAUAAUAAGUCUGUUCUGCCCAUUGAAAUAAUUUUAAAGGCUGCAGUAAUUUGACUGUACAAAGGUAGCAUAAUCAAUAGUUUUUUAAUUGAAAACUUGAAUGAAAGAAUUUAUAAAAUAUUAAUUGUCUCAAAUUUAAAAAUUGAAAUUAAAUUAAAAGUUAAAAUUCUUUUAUUUUUUUAUUAGACGAUAAGACCCUAAGAAUUUAAUUAUUAUUUUUUGUUAUUAAUUUUAUUAUUAAGUUAAUGAUUAAAUUGAAAUAAUUUUAUUGGGAGGGUAAUUAAAAAAUUUAAACUUUAAUUUAUUAGAAACUUUGAUAAUAGGGUUUAAAUGAUUAUUAUUAUAGUUGUAAGAAUUAAUUACCUUAGGGAUAACAGCGUAAUAAUUUUGGAAAGUUCAUAUUUAUAAAAUUGUUUGCGACCUCGAUGUUGAAUUAAAGUAAAAAUUAAAUGAAGAUAUUUAAAUUUUUGGUCUGUUCGACUAU